rnacentral:lncRNA from 1 species
GUUACGGAGCUGCCCUGAACUGAGAGCAGCGUUGGCGGGGGGCUAGGGAGCCGGGCUGUUCCACGCUCACUGCGCGCCUCGGGCGGCGGGGCUCGGGCUCUGUCCGAGGUGCUGAACUCCGGGGCUCCGGCCGCGCCGGCAGAGUGUGCCAGCGUCCAUUAUUGCCAGUGUCUGUGGGCAUCUUCCAGAAGGCCGAGCAUGGGGGUCAGGUGAAACCAGGGCGCCAUGAAUAUCAAUUAUUACAGAAAUGAAAAGGGAUCCUGCACCCAAAUUCAAAUCAAGCAAGUUCACCUAGAGGUUGCAGUGGGGUGGAGGGCCCAGAUCUGGGCUGUUUGGAUCUCUCUGCAGGAUGAAAGGGAUUUCCUGGACCUGGCUUUGCUGUCCCUUGUUCCUUUUGCCUGCACAGUGGCAGCAGCUGUGGCCAGAGGGACACAGUGGGCACAGAGGCCCAGGGAGAGGAGCAGAGGCCAGCAGGAAACAGCAAAUGCAGAGGCCCAAAGUGACCAGGACACUGUCCUUGUGCACAC